rnacentral:rRNA from 1 species
GUGUCAGCCGCCGCGGUAAUACCAGCACCCCGAGUGGUCGGGAUGAUUAUUGGGCCUAAAGCAUCCGUAGCCGGUGUAACAAGUCCUCCGUUAAAUCCACCUGCUUAACAGGUGGGCUGCGGAGGAUACUGUUACACUAGGAGGCGGGAGAGGCGAGGGGUAUUCCACGGGUAGGGGUAAAAUCCUCUGAUCCGUGGAGGACCACCAGUGGCGAAGGCGCCUCGCCAGAACGCGCUCGACGGGGAGGGAUGAAAGCUGGGGGAGCAAACCGGAUUAGAUACCCGGGUAGUCCCAGCCGUAAACGAUGUAGGCUCGGUGAUGGACUGGCUCCGAGCCAGUCCAGUGCCGCAGGGAAGCCGUUAAGCCUACCGCCUGGGGAGUACGGCCGCAAGGCUGAAACUUAAAGGAAUUGACGGGG